GGCCGCCGGGCCGCGGCUGAGGGUGGCGGCGGGCACCGCCGGCGGGGCGCCCCGAGAAGUCUGGCGGCGGGGCGGGUGCCGAGCGAGGAAGCGGCCAAGGUAACGGGGCUCGGCAGCGGCCUGGAGAGGACUCCUACCAGAAGUGUGCUCCGGCUCAGUGAGGAGGAUGCCCCACGUGCCGUGUGUCAUCACACUCCAAACAAGUGUCUCCGUCUCUUCACACCAUGAGAACUUUUUUCCCCAUCAUGGAUGUUUCUUGCCCUGUCAUGAAACGCUGCAAAUGUAAGAUACCCGGGCUCCCAGAGAUAUGAGCACAUGACAACUGGCUGAGUGUGGAAAGAGGCUGCAUCCAUCUGAGGAAGUGAUCUCUGCUUCACUUUGCUUGGACUUGUCAUUACCAAGGUUGGGUACUCCACUGCAUGGAAUACUAGCUCCUUGUUGGUUUGAUGGUGCAGCUUCACACUUAGAGUAAAAUUUAAGCCAAUUGCUACCUUAUGCCUAGACCUCUCAACUAACCUGCUGGGAUCACGUGAUGGAUGGGAUGCUAUGAUGAGGUGGUACAAUGGAGUCACAUACCCAAGUGUCCACAACUGGCCCAAGUUUUGUUGAGGCUGAAGGGGUCCUUUUCCUUGAGAGCCCUUGUGAGCAAAGGCACCUGUUAGAAGUAACUGCAAAAUCUCAUCAACUCCAGCACUACCCAGGCUAAGUGCAGCAUGGCAAAGCAUGGGAAAGCAUUGCCCUGCACUGCUUCUAUCUGCUAUGCAGGCAUGGACCUGAAGAACAGAAAGCAGCUUCUUGGUAGCAACACAAGCAUUUAUUCAGCUGUUCUUGGAGAAACGACUUGGACGACAGGACACAUUAGGAAACCACUGAAGUAAUUAAGCAAAUACACCUAUACAAAGCAACCCAAAUCCAAAAGAAUGAGAAACCCAAGUACAGCAAGACCUCUUCUGCAGUGGCAAGAUCAAGGCUCAUGAGCAGUAUGGAUAUGGCAGCAUUAUGCCUGUCACCCUACCAUUUCAGAUAAGGGCAGGUGUACCAGAGCUCGUGUUACACACACAGGAAGGGGUAAUGCAUGUCCUGGCAGCUCAGUGCAUACACACGUAGGAAGCAGCUGCACCCGAGUAGCCCUGGGUGCCCAAGCUGGCUUGACUAAAAUCCCCGCACUGUGGUGACUACCUGCGACUCAGUUUCAACAAACCAGUGGAUGAAGAAGAAAGGUCUGUCUUUGCCCUUCUUCACCGAAGUCCUCAGUCCUGCUUCCUGAUGAGCAAUACAGCCACUUUUGAACCUUCAGCAGCAUGCUCGAUUUCCUCAGUUAGGCCCAAGUCCUCCCCUGCCUUCCAAGAAGCGGGAGAAGGUCCUCUUGCCCUUCAACCCCUAUUCAUGGAAACAGCCAACAAUAACCAGCACUUCAUUACAGAGGGACCAGAGACACUUCCCAGCUUGUGAAGGUGCAUGACUGUAGCACUCUGACUGGAAGCACAUUCCCAAAAGGUAUGAACUGACCACAAAAUACACACUCUGAACAGAGGGGUUUAGUCACACAGUUAUUGUAGAACACUGGGACUCAACAGAGUCCAUAUCUGGUACAAGGUGCCCAGUGCCAGAGGGUACAUCAUUUCAAUUAAUGAAAAAUUGCUCUCCAAUUAACACCAACAAUUUUUAGUGAAGACGACCAUUUAGUCCCUCCCAGAAUACUGAUGCUUGAUCCCUCUGUAGUGCUAUGCAUUGAUUUACUGAGCAGCUGCUCUUCUGUGUUUAAUUAGCAUGUAUGAAAUUAAUAGUGUUGCAUGGAGGGGUUGUCCUAGCUGCUUGCCUGCACAUAGCUGGUGUCAGUGAACUCAGGGUGAAUUUCACACUGCCAUCUAGCGAUGCAUGUCCAUUUUCCCUGCUAGGUACAGAUCACCCCUAUUUGAACACUUAAGCAUUAGAUAACAUAUUGUGGAGAAGAGCAGAUUAUUGUCUGCUUUAGGGAUUUCUAUUCUCUGCUUCAGAUCUCAUCCACAUUUUACCUGUAUUGAAUAGGCACCCAUAGAGUGUACUCAUGUAAAUGUAGAGAGUACUUUAAAAUGGCAGUGUUAUUCAUGACUAGAAUUAUACAGACCAGUCUAGUCUGCCAGGGAUUCUGGAAAGGACCUGUUACAAGACACAUAUAAUGUAGUUUUUACAUUCAAAUGUAAUUUUUUUUUUUUUACCCUUUGCUGUUAGAAUAUAUUGUACCAAAAACCUGACAGUACAGACUUAAAGGGAGAGAAAACGUUUUCAACUUGAGAUAUUUAAUAGAGCUGGUUAUUUACAAGAAAAAAAAAAUAUUGAAGUAUAUUUGACACCUGUCAACUGGAAGUAAAACUUCAUACUGCCACAUUAAUAGACUUGCCAAAACUCAGCCAAACAUCAUCUUACCUAAGUUUUCCACAUUAAUUUUCCUUAAGCAGAAGAUACACUAGGGAAACAUGCUGUCAACCCAAAGGCCAGAGGAGUAAUCACCAAAUAAAACUAGUCUUAGAAUAGAGUGUGCCAAGCACCCACCUUAACUGACAAUAUCCGUAAUGUGCUGAAGGCACUGAUAUUCAGAAAAGGACAUGAGCUAAGCUGAGGAGCAUUUUUCACAUUGCAUCUACCAUGCCCUAUCUGAGACGUGUGGCUCAAGGUGUUAAUAAUCUCUCUCCAUUGCUGUGCACAGGGCAAGAAAACCACAGAUGCAGUGUCUCCACCACCUAGUUUGAAUUUUCACAUAGGCAAGUCCACCAGUGUUUGCAAAGCCUUCAUGUGAGCCUGUAAGGGAUGACUCCACACCAUCAUUUACUGUUGUUUCAUUACCCCUUUGCUCUAAAAGACACAGGAGCUUUAAGGCAUUUUGUGCUCUUGUAGGGGUCCAUCACUCCAUAAGCCCCUUGUUACCAUUGCACUUCAUGAAUUGCUGGCUAGCACUUGGGACAGAAGCGUUUCGCAAGGCAGGAGUGAUCAGAAACUUUGCUUCCGUGCUGGAGGAUACUGCUCCUACAGAAGGUCCAGCUGAACAGCAUGCUCCUAAUCUGCCUCAGCACAGCCAGACAACAACUGAUAGAAGCAUUUUGUGCUAGCUAAGGUGGUUUCGUACUGAAUAGAUAAGGAAGGACUUGCAUGCUGUUUUGUCAGUUGAGUUGCAGACACAAUAAAGUGGAAGUCAAUAACAGCUCAGACAGACAGACACAGAUCAAGGCAAGAACAUAAGUUUCUGAUGAAAGCAGGCAUAGAAAUUAUUUCACCUGCUUUAAUAAUUCUCUGUACACCACUGAAUGUUCCAAUUACAAUGAUUUACAAGGGACAGCUGUAUCCAUACAGUUUUCCAUUUAGGCACAGCUCUUCAAUAUACACAACACUCACAUCAUUACACACAAUCACUAACAACAGUAAGUUUUCUUAUACAGAUGAACCCUUAGUACAAAUCAGUUUGUUGUUUCCUAUGAUCAUACAUAGUCAGUACCAAUGUCUAUAGGUUAAAGUCCUCUAAUAAUUCCUAUGGCAAGAUCCUUCUCUCUAUAGCUCAUACAUUUUGUCAAGCUCCCACCACCACAAGAGAGAUUCUGUUUGAGACAUGUUUUGAAAAUUAAAGUCUUGGUAGCUGCAGUUGCAAAUUGACUGGGCAGGCUAUUGUUUUCCAAGCUCUGAUAGCUUUGUAUUUCUAUGUGUGGCUCCCUAUCACAGAACUGAGGUGCCUUUUGAAGGGAAUAUUAGAGCUUCCUUGCAAUCCAAAUGACAGUAAACAUAAAUAUCUGAACCAUCCAAAUGAGAGUAAACAUAAAAAUUUUAAAUAAAAAAUUAACAUAUCUGUUAAAA